rnacentral:misc_RNA from 1 species
CCUAUUCCUAUUCCUAUUGCCUGUUGCCUGGCUGGCAUUUUGUGAUUGCCUUAUAAGCUACACCAGCUACACGCAAACGCAUGAUAUGCAACGAUAUGUCACAUAAUACCCGCACACCUUGAACAAGAAAACACGUGGCUUUUCUGUUUUUCUGUUCGCCACAUAGUAUAUACUUUCCUUGGAUGACAUGAUGAACAAACUGCAAACUUUACCUAAUAAACCAUCCAAGGAUACUAUGAUGGGCUAUACUAAACGAAUAGAUUUCUUAAAAGGAGUUAUAAAUGCAAUGAAACUAUCAAAUCCAGUAGAGAGAGUGGUUGCUGCACAAUUGCUGUCAAAAAAUUCUGCUACCAACAAUUCUGCUAGUACAAACAUCACAACGCAAAUACAUCAGAAGACUGUCGCCAAAUACAAUCAAGAAUUACGGGAGGAAUUAUUCCACAGCAAUAAAGACUCAAAUAAGGAUGGUGUACGACAAAGAUUAUUCAGCUCUAAUAUUCAGGACGAAGAUUUGAAUACUAUUUUAAAACACAAUCGUAAUAUCCAGGAGAAGAUCGCAGAAAAUAUGCUCUCCAUAACUGGUACUAUGAAGGAACAUGCAUUAGCGGCGAGCGCUAUCAUAAGAAAGGAUAUUGGGAUGUUGGAAAAGUCUGACAAAUUGACUGAUGUAAAUGCUGCUAAAUUAAAAAAGGAAUCCUUAAAGUUGGAAGAGCACACUAACUCAAAAUGGAGAUGUUGGGUAUGGCUCAUGAUAGCUGUUGUUGUGCUUGUAUUUUUUAAGAUGGUGUUAUUUAUGAAGGUGGCAAAGAAGAAGCUUUAGAUAAUUUCUACAUUGGGGCGUGUCGACUAUAAAUUAAAAUAUGUAGUUGCGCAUUACUGUGUGAACCUGACUAUGUGAGUCAUUAAAUUGAUAUUAUGAUGAUAGAAUUGUAGAGCCAUGAGUGUACUUGUAAAAACACCUCCUAAAACCACUUGGAAACCUGGUAAAUAUGUAUAAAAUAGUGAUAUGUCGGUUUAUAACUUUAUGCGGCAUUGCAAUAUAUAAUUUAGAAUGUUAUUAUGCACAAUUUGAUAACAAUAUCUAAGUAUUGUGUAAUUAAUGGAGCAUGUAUUGUUUUUAUUAAGUGAUUGUAUAAGAGGAGAAACUUAAUCAUUUAUAUAUGUAUAUAUGUAUUGACUAUAUAUAUAUAUAGGGCAUUUAUUUAUGUUAUAAUAACUAUAAAAUAUUUUUGUUACAAACUUAAUAAAAUUCUAUUGUAUAUAAAUUUAAGGUUAUGUUAUAUAUCUUAACCCAAUGUCUGUCUUUUUGAAAAAAAUCAAGUACGAAUACUCAUACACUUGAAAAUAAAGAAAUCAACAGCUCAAAAGAAUUAUAGUUUCGCUGUGAUUAGUGAAAGGGAACAUUAUUUUGAAUAUCUCUUUGUUAAUACAUAUAACCAUUAUACAGUAUAGAGGUAAGGUGAAAGUGGUCAGAACAUUAUGCAAGUAUAUUGCACAACGUGCAGAUGAGUUAUCGUUCGACGAAGGUGAUUUACUUUACGUUUAUGACAGAGAUACUGAUCCAAAUUGGUGGAGAGCUAA